rnacentral:rRNA from 1 species
UACGUAGGGGGCAAGCGUUGUCCGGAAUUAUUGGGCGUAAAGAGCUCGUAGGCGGCCUGUUGCGUCGGUUGUGAAAGCCCGGGGCUUAACCCCGGGUCUGCAGUCGAUACGGGCAGGCUAGAGUUCGGUAGGGGAGACUGGAAUUCCUGGUGUAGCGGUGAAAUGCGCAGAUAUCAGGAGGAACACCGAUGGCGAAGGCAGGUCUCUGGGCCGAUACUGACGCUGAGGAGCGAAAGCGUGGGGAGCGAACAGG